GACGAACGCUGGCGGCGCGCUUAACACAUGCAAGUCGAACGGAAAGGCCUGCUUUUCCUUGUGGAUUGCGGGUACUCGAGUGGCGAACGGGUGAGUAACACGUGAGUGAUCUGCACCCAACUUGGGUAUAAGCCUGGGAAACAGGGUCUAAUUACCGUUAGGACUGCAGGGUGGUGACUGUAGUGGCAAACGAGUUUUCAGUGGUUGGGGAUGAGCUCGCGGCUUAUCAGCUUGUUGGUGGGGUAAUGGCCUACCAAGGCGGCGACGGGUAGCCGGCCGGGGAGGGGGGACGGCCACAUUGGGACUGGGUGACGGCCCAGACUGCUGCGGGAGGCAGCGGUUGGGAAGAAUGGAGAAUAGGCGGGAGCCUGAUGCAGCGACGCAGUGUGGGGGAUGACGGCCUUCUAGUAGUAUGCUCCUUGCGACCGAGAGGAAGCCACCUGGUUGGGAGGGUGUUGACGGUAGUUGUAGAAGAAGCCCCGGCUAACUACGUG
rnacentral:rRNA from 1 species